ACUUUUGGGAUAGCAUUGGAAAUGUAAAUGAGGAAAACACCUAAUAAAAUAAAAGGGUGUAAACUCUUGAGUAUCGAAAUUUCCAGAGUGCUCAGAGCCUCAUUUGUACCCUUUACCAUCCUAUCUCAUGCUGUUGGAUUCAUUGUGGUAAGAGUAUAAAUGUAAAUAUGUAGGUUUAAAAUGUAUGGGAAAAUAUUUGUAUAUCAAAAAUAAUCUCAUUACUACACAGGCUGGACGUAGGCCUCCUGCACAUAUGUAGCAGAAAUGCAGUUUAAUCUUCAUAUGGGUCCCUAACUAUUAGAGUCAGGGCUACCCCAAAAGCUGAUGCCUGUAAGUGGAAUAUGUUCUUCUAGCUGGGCUGUCUUGUCUGGCUUCAGUGGGAGAGGAAGCACCUAGCCAUGAAAAGACUUGAGUGCCAGGGUGAGGAGGACAUCCAACCACUCAGAGGAGAAGGGGUGGGGGAGGCUUGGACAAGUGUUGUGGGAGGGGAUUGCAGUGAGCAGGAUACAAAAGUGAACAAGUAAAUAAAUAAAUACAACUGUAAUUUUGUUACUACAGCGUUCCUCAAAUAAAGAGGAGCAGAACAUGUCAAAUGAGUACCUUAACCACGGAAGACUGGUGGGCAUCAGCUACAUCUGUAGCUGGAGCCUGAGAGAAGUGUUUACUCUGAUAGCUCCACACAAAACUGAAGCACUGGGAAGAGAUUUUUGUCUUCUCCCUUCAGACUUCAUGUAACCUGGAUGCAUUCAAUAAGUAUUUGUUGUGGCAUUGUUGAGUAGUCCCUUUAUAGGCACUGUAAAGGUUUCUUAGUGACACUGAUGGUUUAAUACUCAGGUUUAAUGUCCAGUCCCUAUAUAGUCUUAAUUGCUUGUCUUGCUUUGGAGGAUAACACAUCUUCCUCAGGCUCAGACUGCAUCUUACUUGCACUUGCACUUCUACAGUAUUGAUCUCAUUUCACAGGCACCUAUAAUGCGUGGACUCAUGAAAUGAUCCCAUAACUAAAGGAGUAGCCAGACAUAUAUUUCUCCUUGCUUGUUUGUUUAUAACAUUAGACAGGUGAAUGCUACAGAAGGUAUUUGCUGCCCAUGGCCUCAGGGCAUGGCCUCAGGUCAUGACCUCAGGGUCGACUGCCUUAGGGCACCUCUGGGUGCCCUUGUAGCAGUGCUGUUUUGCAAAGCCCAUGAUGAGCCACUCCUUAUUAUAAACACGUAUUUCACAUGAGAAUGAUAAGGUGAGUUUUUAAUAAUCUUUCUAAUUAAACAAAUAAAGGUAUGAAAGGAACUGAAAUGUUUAGUGCAUGAUUACUACAAGGCUGUAUGCACUAACAUCCCAGUGUCUAGGGCCAAGAUGGAGAGAACUUAGUAACUAUCUACAAUUUUUCUUUUCUCUAAAUAUUGCGAUAUAUACUUUCUCUGUAUUUAUUAUAAUCCCCGUAAGAACAGAUGGCCUGCACAGAUUAGACAACUUCAUUAAGUGACAAAUUGUGGAGGUUGGUAAUAAAAGAACCUUACAGCAACCAGUUAAUCAGGAGAGGUCAUCAUAAAGAGAAGGAAGAGAGCUAGGGAGAGGGAUGGAUUUGGAGAAGGGAGGACAACAGAGAGGUCAUGAGAGCAGGGGAAGCAAAUAGCAAGCCCUGUGUGAAAAUGGCCUUCUGACUGGGCUUGCCAUCUGUGAAAUGCCUGCUUACCCUGGGCCUGGCAGGUAGUAGCCUAGGACUGUCUGGAAACAGAUUGCCUCACCUCAUAUGACCUUCCCCAUGCCCUCUUUAUGGUGCUUCAUUUGGCCAAUGUCUUAUAAUUGUGUAGACAUGAAGCAGCAUUUAGACAUAGAGUACUUUAUGUAGGACAGGUUUCUCCAAAGGGACUCUUCGAGUGCACCUCAAUCCAUGAGAGAGAUGUAUUUCCCAACAUUCUCUGCAUAGAAGCUAAGGAUUCUCUGUCCAACCUCUAGUGGUCAGAAUACAUCCUAUGAUUCAGUCAACUGUUUAGAUGUUAAUAGUGUAAGUCUCAACAAGCCCCAGUGCAGUCCAUAUGGUUCUUCUCUGGGCAUGGCAGGAGUAGGUGGUUGCCAGUGUCUGAAACAUAAAACAGGUGAAAACAGACCUGCGGAGAGACAGCAGGAAAAAUAGAAGACAGCUCGCAAGUACAUCUGGUGGUGUUUAUGAGAUUUAUUAAAAUUCAACAAGGAGUGCUUAACAUUUAGCAAAUGAAGUUUGUCUUUAGGAAAAUCCUUGUGGGAUUUAUACAAGGAUCUGUUAAUAAAGGGCACAUACAACACUCAUAAUACAGUCAGACAUGUUAUGUAAAACAGGACAAGAAAGUAAUAGGAUAACAGAGUGUUUGCACAAGGGAUUUUGUGAUAUAACACAUGAUUCUUCAGCCUUCGCUCUGCACUUUUAGAGGCUGGGAUUUGCAUAGUGAUGCAGCCACACGAGACAGUAACCUUGACAUUUUUGCAGCUGUACAUAUUUGCACACACCAAGACACAUAGUCUUCCUGUCUAGUUACUAUUUGAUUCUUUUGUUCAUCUCUUAUUUAUUACCAAAAGUAGUGUUCACAAAACUGUUUCUCACAAUUUAAGCUUUUAAAUCAUGGUGUGAAUUACAGACAUUUUAUCCAAGUUUACCUUUUUCAGCAGAAAUGCCAUAUGUUCUCAAAACCAUUUAUCACUUUAUUUACAAUUCUAGCUAGGUUGUUUGCUUAAUAUUUCUUAGCAUACACCACAUAUGUUUACUUUGAUACUCCAUUUCUGCCUCAAAUGGUCAAAAAGUUCAACUUAAUCUUUUUCCUCAAAUAAGCAUUUCUACCUUAUCCAUCAAUAACGUUGCAAACAGUAUUUUACUGUGAUCCAUAACACAAAUCACAGAUGUAUUUGAGGUUUGUAAUUCUGCUUCUCUCUCCAAUAUAAUGAACCUAGGUUCUGUCUUUACAACUCUGUCUUCCAUCAUUUUCAUUCAGAAGGUUUGGAUGAGACUUUGCAUGGAGAGUGUAGGAGACCAUCAACUUGUCUACCUGCUUGGCCUUUCCUUCCAGUUAACUCUUAGCUGCCUUUGUCCCUAGCCACAUCAUUUCCUGUGAACACAGACUUUCCCAGGUCCUCAUGAUAAGGCAGAGUUUCUCUUAAGCUUCUGCUUUUCUCCAUCUUCAUUGUGUGCAUUGUGUGACCUUCUGUCAUUUGUUUAUUCACGCAUUUGAAUGAGCUAAUUAUUGAAGAUCCAAGAUAGUACCCUUUCUAACACAGUGGCUAAUAAGUACUUCUUGUUGAUCUCUAUAGUUUUCUGCCUAAGGCAUUUGUAAUUGGGUUGAUAUUGCUUUCUAACCUUUAGAACUGAGAUGCAGUUGUAGCACACACUUAACUGAUAGAUAGGUCAAAUAGGUUUCUACACACAAUCUCAAUUGCGACAUAGGUUAAAUAGGCUUCUGGCCACCACAUUACAAACUACAAAGAAACCUACUUAAUCUAUCUACCAAUGGUUGUAUGUGGAAUCUGUGUAAGAGUAUCAAGAAAUUUUAUGUUAUUUAAAAGACAUGUUUCUAUGUCUUAGACAUCCAGUACACUCUUUAUACCCACACCUCACAAUUUAACAUUUGACACAUUUGGAGUCUAUCAAUGUAUCAACUUUAUAUGAUGCUGCAAGAUAGUGUAACCAUCUUCUUAUGCCUAUUGUCAGCACUGCAAGGUACCCUCUCUAAAUCCUUUCAUUAUUAAUCUUCUUCAUUAAUACUUUGGUAUAUGAUGAUUAUGAAACCUUUGCUUGGCUAUUCAAAAAAAUUAAUUAAGCAAGUAGGAUAAAGUUUUCAGAAGCAGAAGUCUAAAAAGAACAACAGCAAUUGAGGACUGGAAGAGGACUCUUGUUAUACAAAUGUGAGGAAUUUAACUCUGAAUCACACGAGCUAAUGUGGACUCAGGUAUAGCACUGUGUGUCUGUAUUCCUAGGUCUCUCUCAUAUGAUGGACAUACCAUCUUUGUUGUGGCUAGAGAAAUGGCUCAGUCUUCAGCUCCUUGGGUACUUUCUCUAGCUCCU
rnacentral:lncRNA from 1 species